CGUUUUGUAUUCUCGGCCCAUCUAGCACGUGUAGAACGCAACCCUAAUCAGAUGCGCUCCUUCGCUUCUCUUCGCUUCUCUUCGAUUGACGACGAGACGAUCGACAUUCCGUAACAAUGGGCGUUUUGAUGUAUUCGUUGGAAUAUUGGAAUAAUCGACGUCCAUUCUGCUUCAUCCUCCUUUACUCGACGGCGUUACUAACCUCCAUUAUUCUCCAAAUCAAUUAUCCCCACAACGUGCCAUUGAAUGGCGAUUCUUCGGCUUCUCCGUUAAUCCUAGAUAUUGAUAUAUAUUAUCCGUUUGCUUCAUAUGUGACUCAUUGUUUUUAUACUCUCUCUGCACUAUACCUUGCCAAAUUCUAGCUCACUGUAAUGGCGACUUCCUAAGUGAACCCUUCUAAUCUGAGAUUGGCCGUUGUAAGGAGAUUGUGGUGGGCCGUUUGCUUCCAUUCUGAGAAGCUCGGAAUCUGAAGAAAAGAGGCGAACUUAUUGGAGUUGACAUUGUGUUGGACGAGAAGUCAACCUUGAUACAAGGUUCCAUCGUCCCCACACCGGCUUAACAGUUUCAAGAAUCUACAGAGGGAAGGAAGAGUGUACUAGCUCAGUUAUCCUUAUGUUGCUAGAAGCAACAUUCACUUCAAGCUGUGUGACCCACCGGUCUGUGUUUGAUUUACAGGGCAUACCAACUUUUUCGAGUUGAUGAACCAUAUUGAUUUCAUUCCAGAUGAGAAUUAUUCAAACGUACAGGAUCACACUCUUUGACAACAAAAACUGAGCCACGCAGGGAUUUUUAAAAGAGUAAAUUACUUCUACAUAUAAUUGUUAUUUCAAGCUUUUCAGCUUAAUCAUGCAUUCAAAUCUCACAUUAACCAAAUGUGAUGC